GUGAGGAAUUUUCCGCAAUGGGCGAAAGCCUGACGGAGCAAUGCCGCGUGAAGGAUGAAGGCCUAUGGGUUGUAAACUUCUUUUCUCAGAAAAGAAUUAUGACGGUAUCUGAGGAAUAAGCAUCGGCUAACUCUGUGCCAGCAGCCGCGGUAAGACAGAGGAUGCAAGCGUUAUCAGGAAUGAUUGGGCGUAAAGCGUCUGUAGGUUGUUUAAAAAGUAUUCUGUCAAAGAUUAGGGCUUAACCCUAGAUAGGCAGAAUAAACUUUUAAGCUAGAGUUUGGUAGAGGCAGAGGGAAUUCCCGGUGGAGCGGUGAAAUGCGUAGAUAUCGGGAGGAACACCAAAGGCGAAGGCACUCUGCUGGGCCAAUACUAACACUGAGAGACGAAAGCGAGGGGAGCAAAUGGGAUUAGAAACCCGAGUAGUCC
rnacentral:rRNA from 1 species